GACGAACGCUGGCGGCGUGCUUAACACAUGCAAGUCGAACGGAACGGCCCUGCCUUUGUGGGGUGCUCGAGUGGCGAACGGGUGAGUAACCCGUGAGUACCCUGCACUUGACUUUGGGAUAACUUAAGGAAACUGGGGCUAAUACCGGCUAGGAGCUACUGCUGCAUGGUGGGGGUUGGAAGGUUUAGGCGGUUGGGGAUGGACUAGCGUCCUAUCGGCUUGUUGGGUGGGUAGUGGCUUACCAAGGCUUGGACGGGUAGCCGGCCUGAGAGGAUGACAGGCCACGUUAGAACUGAGAUGCGGCCCGGACUCCUACGGUAGGCAGCGGUGGAGAAGGGUGCACAAGGGGCGGAAGCCUGAUGUAGCAACGCCGCGUGCGGUGAGACGGCCUGCGGUUUGUAUACCACAGUCGCCUGAGACGAGGCGUGAGUGACGGUAAUGGGUAAAGAAGCACCGGCUAACUACGUG
rnacentral:rRNA from 1 species